GACGAACGCUGGCGGCGUGCUUAACACAUGCAAGUCGAACGGAAAGGCCCUGCUUUUGUGGGGUGCUCGAGUGGCGAACGGGUGAGUAACACGUGAGUAACCUGCCCUUGACUUUGGGAUAACUUCAGGAAACUGGGGCUAAUACCGGAUAGGAGCUCCUGCUGCAUGGUGGGGGUUGGAAAGUUUCGGCGGUUGGGGAUGGACUCGCGGCUUAUCAGCUUGUUGGUGGGGUAGUUGCUUACCAAGGCUUUGACGGGUAGCCGGCCUGAGAGGGUGACCGGCCACAUUGGGAAUGAGAUACGGCCCAGACUCCUACGGGAGGCAGCAGUGGGGAAUAUUGCACAAUGGGCGGAAGCCUGAGGCAGCAACGCCGCGUGCGGGAUGACGGCCUUCGGGUUGUAAACCGCUUUCGCCUGUGACGAAGCGGGAGUGACGGUAAUGGGUAAAGAAGCACCGGCUAACUACGU
rnacentral:rRNA from 1 species